GAAAUGCGAUAAGUAAUGUGAAUUGCAGAAUUCAGUGAAUCAUCGAAUCUUUGAACGCACAUUGCGCUCCUUGGUAUUCCUUGGAGUAUGCCUGUUUGAGUAUCAUGAAAUCUUCAAAGUAAAUCUUUUGUUAACUCAAUUGGUUUCUACUUUGGUAUUGGAGGUCUUUGCAGCUUCACACCUGCUCCUCUUUGUUCAUUAGCUGGAUCUCAGUGUUAUGCUUGGUUCCACUCGGCGUGAUAAGUUAUCUAUCGCUGAGGACACUGUAAAAGGUGGCCAAGGUAAAUGCAGAUGAACCGCUUCUAAUAGUCCAUUGACUUGGACAAUACUUUUAUGAUCUGAUCUCAAAUCAGGUAGGACUACCCGCUGAACUUAAGC
rnacentral:misc_RNA from 1 species